UACGAGGGGGGCAAGCGUUGUUCGGAAUUACUGGGCGUAAAGGGCUCGUAGGCGGCCAACUAAGUCCGACGUGAAAUCCCCAGGCUUAACCUGGGAACUGCGUCGGAUACUGGAUGGCUUGAAUCCGGGAGAGGGAUGCGGAAUUCCAGGUGUAGCGGUGAAAUGCGUAGAUAUCUGGAGGAACACCGGUGGCGAAGGCGGCAUCCUGGACCGGCAUUGACGCUGAGGAGCGAAAGCCAGGGGAGCAAACGGG
rnacentral:rRNA from 1 species